rnacentral:rRNA from 1 species
GAUGAACGCUGACAGAAUGCUUAACACAUGCAAGUCAUUGGCGAAGCUGCGCUUGCGCAGUCUAGCCAAGGCGGACGGGUGAGUAACGCGUAAGGAACUUGCCCUGCAGACAGGGAUAACAGACGGAAACGACUGAUAACACCUGGUAUUGUCAGGCUGGCGCAUGCCGGCCUGAUGAAAGGAGACGCUGCAGGAGAGCCUUGCGUCCUAUUAGCUAGUUGGUGGGGUAACGGCCCACCAAGGCGAUGAUAGGUAGCCGGCCUGAGAGGGUGAACGGCCACAAGGGGACUGAGAUACGGCCCUUACUCCUACGGGAGGCAGCAGUGGGUAUAUUGGACAAUGGGGGCAACCCUGAUCCAGCAAUUCUGUGUGCACGAAGAAGGUUUUCGGAUUGUAAAGUGCUUUCAGCAGGGAAGAGGAAAGUGACGGUACCUGCAGAAGAAGCGACGGCUAAAUACGUG